rnacentral:lncRNA from 1 species
GUACAUUUAUAUAAUUCCAGAUGACUCCUUUUUACUUUUAGGCAUAGGCUGCUCCCCUGAGAAUUAACUCUCUGACACUCUAAGUCUUCUAACUAGGUUGAAAAAAUGCCUCCGGCAGAGACUUCCAUGUGCUCCUGGUAAUAAAGGCUUUUCAUAUAAAAGAAAGUUAAGUGGUUAUACCCUAUGUACUGGCUCAUAAAAUGAAAAAGAAGAGCAGGAAAUUAUUGCUUGAGAUACGAAAAUGAUUGCCGUGG